UGAGAAAACCUCAUAUUGUGACUGUUUGUUGGUUCUAAGAUGAAAGCUUAUUCAAUAUCAGUUAAUUAGGUGUACCAACAAUCAUUAAGCAAACAAGAAUUAAAUAUCAUAGGCACAAUGGCGCAAUUCCCACUUUUUUCCCCUUCAAAUUUCUCCUUUCAGCUUAAUGCUUUAUUUUUGACUUGUCACAAAAGUUUAUCAUAUGCAUGUUGUAGAAUGUGUUCCCCCUUAACACAUGGACUCUUCCAGUCACCCCUGUCAUCCAGUGUAAAAUGGACUAUUCCUGAACUUUCCAUCGGAGUUCGCGAAGUGACGGAGAAGAGAACAGGUGGAUUAAAACGGGAAGGCAAGCUGUCUGAAUAUUGUAGAUAGUUUGUAGAUUAAUAAGUAUUAGUCCAAAUUAGAGGAGUUUUAUCGUUUGUGCGUGUGCGUGCAUCACAAAAACCACACAUCUAUGCACAUCUAAUAAAGACAAUUUGGAUUA